AGAGUUUGAUCCUGGCUCAGGACGAACGCUGGCGGCGUGCCUAACACAUGCAAGUCGAGCGGAGACAGUGAGUAGCUUGCUAUGAGCUGUUUUAGCGGCGGACGGGUGAGUAACGCGUGAGCAACCUUUCCCAGACAGGGGAAUAACACACCGAAAGGUGUACUAAUACCGCAUAAGACCACGGGAUCACAUGGUUCUGAGGUAAAAGAUUUAUCGGUUUGGGGUGGGCUCGCGUCCGAUUAGGUAGUUGGUGAGGUAACGGCCCACCAAGCCGACGAUCGGUAGCCGACCUGAGAGGGUGAUCGGCCACAUUGGGACUGAGACACGGCCCAAACUCCUACGGGAGGCAGCAGUGGGGAAUAUUGGGCAAUGGAGGAAACUCUGACCCAGCAACGCCGCGUGGAGGAAGAAGGUUUUCGGAUCGUAAACUCCUGUCCUUGGAGACGAGUAGAAGACGGUAUCCAAGGAGGAAGCCCCGGCUAACUACGUGCCAGCAGCCGCGGUAAUACGUAGGGGGCAAGCGUUGUCCGGAAUAAUUGGGCGUAAAGGGCGCGUAGGCGGCUCGGUAAGUCUGGAGUGAAAGUCCUGCUUUUAAGGUGGGAAUUGCUUUGGAUACUGUCGGGCUUGAGUGCAGGAGAGGUUAGUGGAAUUCCCAGUGUAGCGGUGAAAUGCGUAGAGAUUGGGAGGAACACCAGUGGCGAAGGCGACUAACUGGACUGUAACUGACGCUGAGGCGCGAAAGUGUGGGGAGCAAACAGGAUUAGAUACCCUGGUAGUCCACACUGUAAACGAUGAAUGCUAGGUGUAGGGGGUAUCGACCCCUUCUGUGCCGCAGUCAACACAAUAAGCAUUCCGCCUGGGGAGUACGGCCGCAAGGUUGAAACUCAAAGGAAUUGACGGGGGCCCGCACAAGCAGCGGAGCAUGUGGUUUAAUUCGACGCAACGCGAAGAACCUUACCAGGUCUUGACAUCCACUUAAACUUACAGAGAUGUAAGGUGUGCUUGCACAAAGUGAGACAGGUGGUGCAUGGUUGUCGUCAGCUCGUGUCGUGAGAUGUUGGGUUAAGUCCCGCAACGAGCGCAACCCUU
rnacentral:rRNA from 1 species